CCUACAGUAUUUAUGAUUAUUAAUAACAGACAAGGUGACAACAACAAUGUAGGUACCUAUAUGUCUUAGGAACAGGACUGACAGAGAUGGUUGCCGCCUAACGCGGAUGUCGAUACCCGAUGUAUAUCAGUAUAUGGGGCAGGUACUAGCUUCAUACGUUACACUGAAGAUCAAGGACACUUUUUAUCUGACGACAAGUAAUCAAGGCGUGGUCGGUGAGGUCUGUAUAUAAGCCGGGACGGAUCGGCAAACAGUAUCACUUGUGACAACAAUCCCAAGUAACUCUACAACCAUGUUCUUCAGACUGUUCGCCCUCUUCGCCGUGUUGGCCGUGGCUUUCGCCAACCCUAAGCCUGAGCCCCAGGUGGUGACCUACGCCGCCGGAGCUGCUGCGUACCCUACGCCUACUCCGCCCCGUCGCCUAUUCUGCUCCCUAUGCCGCCGCUGCCUACCCUACGGAGCAGCAUACUACGUCCGCUAAACCAGAUUCACCAGAUUUACCUACUUGCUCAAUGACACCGACCAAAUGUUUGAUCAUGUUUUAAUAUAAGUUUUUAUGGCAAA